GAAUCGAUUUCUGCGACCGGCAGGCAACAACCAGGAGCGGGAGGGAUUACUGAAGAGGAUAGAGAGCCUGAGGAAGGAGAAGAAGGUCUACAGCCGCUUUGAGAUGGGGAAUAGCCUGGGAUAACGAAAGAUGGAGGAGCGACUUUUAAUAUGGAAACUAUUUAUGCAAGAUGAUCAAAAACACCAUAUGUGCCAACGACACUAUCAAAGUACCUCUGAGGCCCCACACGGCAGCCUUUUCUGGAUUCUCACAAGAAGUUGUAAAACUUGAAAAGACUAUAUAUAAAAAUGCUGGAAACAAACAGAAGUCAUUGAGUUUGGAAAAUGCCUGUUUGCCAAGACCUGGUACUACUUUUUCCUUAUAUGGUGACUGAGGGAAACAAGAGGGACUCUACUUGCAUACUGUCUGCAUGGGCUAAUGUUUCACCAAACAAAGAAAGGUAGGGUAAUUUACCCACAACUGAGCUUGUAUGAAUGUGACUGAGGGGCACAGAGAGGAGGAAGACAGCACAUGUUGCACAGAAGAGAGACUAUAGAUGCAUGCCAUGCGUAGCUGAGACUUGUCGAUAUAAAAGGGAGAAAGUGUCCUUGUGGAUCCACCAUGUGCCAACGCCCCAUCGAGGGAAUUACCAAAGCUAGAGGAUUAUUAUUAUCAUCCCAGACCAACCGACAAAGAUGAGGAUAUGUAGAGGAAUAAAACGACAUGAUCAACUUAUGAAGUGUGAUAAGUUUGUGAGACUAUAGCGACUGAAGGAGUGAGGCAAAAUCUGAAUCUAACAAUGAGAAAUGUGUUCUUUAAUAUAUAAUGAUAAUUUUGCAGCAGUACAGUUUGAACAUAAAAUAGAGGCUGUAGUGAACUUCACCCUCUCAAGGGAGUGUAAUUUGCUUUUCCAUCAAGGUGUGGAUCCACUUCCCCAGGUUGAAGAUGUCAAAUAACCAUUCAGAGUUUUCCUGGUCAGAGGAGUGGCAUUAACAAGGUGUACGAGUAUUUGUUUAAGGUAAUGUAAAUAAAAAUGUAAAGCCUUGACAGCCGCCCCGAUUCACUGUAAAAAUAGUUUCUCUUUCUUUCCUGACCUUUAAAACCAGGCAUUACCACUAAAAGAAAGCAGUAGAAAAAGGAUGGGUAUUUUAUGCAGUACUGGAGCCGCGCCAUGCCUCCUUACAUAAGUCACUUAACUUGAAAGACCUACGCCCUGCGCAGGACUCCAAACUCCUUUGUUGGUCUGUACAGGCAAUUAAACCAAAGACUUAGUUAUACAGAUCCACGCUGCUCGACAGCUCGGCUGGACUUCAAACCAUUUUAGUCUUUAGUGUGUUUUUUGUAGAGUUUGUCGAAAGAUUGUAUAAACUAUUUCUUUUUGGACACUUCAGGGUUUACACUGUUUUCUAUACAGAAUUGUAUUGUACAUAUUUAUAUAAAACUUGGCUUGUUGAUAUUUUAGGUAACAAACUAGAUUGUGAUCUCCCUCACUGCGCCAUGAAAGUGCCUUGUGUUUAUUUUGAAUUAACAUGUGAAUGCAUGGGGCUGCACAGUGGGCUAGUGGUUAGCAUGUUCGCCUUGCAGCAAGAAGAUCCCCAGUUCAAAUCCCAGGGUGGGCCUGGAAUCUUUCUGCAUGGAGUUUGCAUGUUCUUCCUGUGCAUGCGUGGGUUUUCUCCGGGUACUCCGGCUUCCUCCCACAGUCCAAAAAUAUGCUGAGGUUAAUUGAUUAUUCUAAAUUGCCCGUAGGUGUGAAUGUGAGUGUGAUUGUUUGUCCAUAUAUGUAGCUCUGCGACAGACUGGCGACCUGUCCUGGGUGUCCCCUGCCUUCGCCCAAGUCAGCUGGGAUAGGCUCCAGCACCCCUGCGACCCUAAUGAGGAUAAAGCAGUGUAUAGAGAAUGGAUGGAUGUGAAUGCAUGGUAUUGGCUGUAAAAAUUAACUGGCAUUAACUGGGGAAAUCAGAUACACAGGAUCAAUGUGUUCUGUCUGUUUUAAACCUCAGAUAGUAUUAAAUUGUAUUUGAAAUACUGCAAAAAAAAGUCUUUUAUUAAAUCUCUUUAAAACUGAA